GAUGAACGCUAGCGGCAGGCCUAACACAUGCAAGUCGAGGGGCAUCAUGGCGUAGCAAUACGCUGAUGGCGACCGGCGCACGGGUGCGUAACGCGUAUGGAACCUACCCACCGCAGGGGGAUAACCCGCCGAAAGGCGGACUAAUACCCCAUGGUUCCCCGACCCUGCCUGGGGUUGGGGGUAAAGCCUACGGGCGGCGGUGGAUGGCCCUGCGUGCCAUUAGCUGGCUGGUGGGGUAACGGCCCACCAGGGCGACGAUGGCUAGGGGGUCUGAGAGGACGAUCCCCCACACUGGUACUGAGACACGGCCCAGACUCCUACGGGAGGCAGCAGUGAGGAAUAUUGGACAAUGGAUGGAAAUCUGAUCCAGCCAUGCCGCGUGCAGGAAGACAGCCCUAUGGGUUGUAAACUGCUUUUAUAUGGGAGCAAUAAGGUCUACGUGUAGACUGAUGAGAGUACCAUAUGAAUAAGCAUCGGCUAACUCCGUGCC
rnacentral:rRNA from 1 species